rnacentral:rRNA from 1 species
GAUGAACGCUGGCGGCGUGCCUAAUACAUGCAAGUCGAGCGAACGGACGAUAAGCUUGCUUCUCUGAUGUUAGCGGCGGACGGGUGAGUAACACGUGGAUAACCUACCUAUAAGACUGGGAUAACUUCGGGAAACCGGAGCUAAUACCGGAUGAUAUUUUGAACCGCAUGGUUCAAAAGUGAAAGACGGUCUUGCUGUCACUUAUAGCUGGAUCCGCGCUGCAUUAGCUAGUUGGUAAGGUAACGGCUUACCAAGGCAACGAUGCAUAGCCGACCUGAGAGGGUGAUCAGCCACACUGGAACUGAGACACGGUCCAGACUCCUACGGGAGGCAGCAGUAGGGAAUCUUCCGCAAUGGGCGAAAGCCUGACGGAGCAACGCCGCGUGAGUGAUGAAGGUCUUCGGAUCGUAAAACUCUGUUAUUAGGGAAGAACAUAUGUGUAAGUAACUGUGCACAUCUUGACGGUACCUAAUCAGAAAGCCACGGCUAACUACGUG